GCCGGGGUGGCGGAAUUGGUAGACGCAGCGGACUUAAAAUCCGCUGGGGCUUUGCUCCGUGCCGGUUCAACUCCGGCCCUCGGCA
rnacentral:tRNA from 2 species